AGCCGACAUGCUGUGUCUAGAAAACGACGCCCAACACAGCAGCCACGGAGGGGAAGGAAAAAGCUGGAAAGCUCCUAGGAAAUGCGAAUCCAGAAAGCGCCAGACAGGUGCAUCAAUGAACAGCCACAGGUUUGAAAAUGAGGAACACUUCACCCGGCCACUGAACCCUUAGGAAAAGCCACAAGGCCACUAGUACCAGGAGGCAGGACACACAAGGCAGCACUCCAUUCAGAAAGGGACGGCAUCUAGUAGAACUCGUUGGUCACAAGCACUGACCGGGGAGGGCUGCGAGCCAGUCUGCAGCAGGCAGGCGCCGUGGAGUGACGGCCGCACUUCCGCUUCCGGGCUCCCGCACCGACAGGCGCCAGAGGCUGCAGCCCCCAGCGGUCACGCGCACAGCCCACGGUUGGCGGCUCCAGCAGGGAAACCGAGAAAUUAAGAAAUCACCAGGGAUGGAGGCACAACCAUGGGAACGUACUUACAGACGCUGAGGCGAACUCUUAACAAUGGUUGAAACAAUACAUUUUCUCCAACUUCGUUUUCCUUUUUAUUUUCUUUUCUCAACACCUAGGGCCUGGAACCUGCUAGGUGAAAGGCUACAAUGCGUGAGAAAAUCCAUAAAGCACACGCAGAGGAAACGCCCAGGGGAGCACGGAGCCGGGCACAGAACUUACACCCUUCAUAAUCACCUCAUCCUCCAACCAGUUUCAACUGAGAACAAGGCUGAUGUCGGAUUAAUGCUGUCCACUGUCAGGAUUCUCUGCCCUUCCUGGAGUCCAGGAAAUAGGAAUUGCGAGUCUGACUCAUCAUCCAGGUGUUCCUUUAGGGCUCACAGACUUAAGGAAUAG
rnacentral:lncRNA from 1 species